AGAGUUUGAUCAUGGCUCAGAUUGAACGCUGGCGGCAUGCUUUACACAUGCAAGUCGAACGGCAGCGCGGGGGCAACCCUGGCGACGAGUGGCGAACGGGUGAGUAAUGUAUCGGAACGUAUCCUGUAAUGGGGGAUAACCAGUCGAAAGAUUGGGUAAUACCGCAUACGCACGAGAGUGGAAAGUAGGGGAUCGCAAGACCUUACGUUAUAGGAGCGGCCGAUAUCUGAUUAGCUAGUUGGUGGGGUAAAGGCCUACCAAGGCGACGAUCAGUAGCUGGUCUGAGAGGAUGAUCAGCCACACUGGGACUGAGACACGGCCCAGACUCCUACGGGAGGCAGCAGUGGGGAAUUUUGGACAAUGGGCGAAAGCCUGAUCCAGCCAUGCCGCGUGCGGGAAGAAGGCCUUCGGGUUGUAAACCGCUUUAGUCUAGGAAAAAGGGGUGCGAGGUUAAUACCCUCGUGCUUUGAUGGUACUGGAAGAAUAAGCACCGGCUAACUACGUG
rnacentral:rRNA from 1 species